ACCAGAACCACCUGCUGGAGAAAGGGAGCUACGGGGGCCGGGCAGGGUCCAAACGCCUCACGUGGGCGGCGGCGCCACGGUCUUCGGGGUCACAGGGAAGAGAAGGGCUCUCCUCAAGCGGGUGGAAGGAGGGAGGCCUCCCGAGGGAAUGAGACUCCAGGCCACUCCCCCGCAGCAAGGCAGGAUCACCUGCGUCGCGGAGAGCAGUUAGAGGUCCCUGGAGUGGAAAAGGGCAGUGGGACCUGGUAGCUUGGGUUCCCUGCAACUUGGGGUUCGACCUCCAGGCAAUGAAGUAGGGAUGGUCCUGCAAGUCAAGAUUCCAGUAGCAAGAGUGCAUCAGAUCUCUGUAAGGAAAAUAACUAACAUUGCUCAGUUCCCUGUAGAGUUGCAGGGCGCUUUGACGUUAUCUCCCUUGGUUCUCCAUCAGGUCGUAGUGGACUAAUUUUACAGGCGAAGUUAAGUGACUUACCCAAAACCUCACAGCUAAUAAACGGCAGAGCCGGCACCCAGCUGUACUGGCUUCCAGCGCAUCCCAUUAUCUCCAUAAAUCCCCCUGAUUCAACUAAUAUUAGACGCCCCACAGAGUCUCGCUGCUCAAAACGUGGUCAGUGGCCCAGCAGCACUGACAUGAGGACCUUAGUUGGAAACUCAGAAUCUCAGGCUCCACCCCAGACCUGCUGAACCAGCAUCUUCAACUUAACAAGAACCCGAAGAGAUUUGUGCCACAUCAAAAAGUUUGAGAAGCUCUGAUCUAGCUGGACCCUGGACACGGUGACUCUGAUUCAAUUAUGCAGAUGACCACAAGCCUCUGGGGUUGGCAGAGCCACAAGAAAGAAGGUGCCUGGAUGAAGGAGAGCUACCCACUGACCUGGACACCCAAUUAUAGGAUAGACAGUGAAGUGCAACUACAGCCCGCAAAUGAAAAUGAAUAAAAUUAAUCCAGCCCCUCAAGGCAGUCAUCUGUCUUAGAGCUAUUGGAAUCCUGGAUCAUUGUGGGAAAUGAAAAGAACUGGUUUUUAGCAAGGAGACCAAGAAACUCUACUCCCUAGGGGCUAGCAAUGAGAGAAAGGAAGCCUUGAGUCUUUGAGCACAGGGUGACAGUUUGGGUCCUAUGUGAGAUGAUCAAAUCCACAGCAACAGAGGAAAGGACAAAAGGAAAAGAUACUUCGAUGGAAUCAGCAGCCAUUGAUCCAAUGCCAACUCCAAGACUGGAACGUCGCAAUGAUAGUUCCAAGGCGGAAAUUUGACGUAAUUCUUUUCGACACAGUUUUACAGGCAUCUUGCAUGUGAAUAACUCACAACUUUAAUUCAUGGAACAAAUUGAGAAAUAGUCUUUUGGGGGUUUGGUACUCCCUGGAAACAUAAGAGUGCUUUGGGCACCUCUGGUGCCUUUCCAUGCCUGCCUUCUCUGCUGUUCUUGCUACUAGUGAAUUCUAAAUCAUGGCCAAGUGAUGCCAGCACUGGAUAAUAUUGGCUCUGCCCCAUAUCUCGAGGGAAAACUCUGGGACUUGGCAUUAUAUGUGUGGGAAUCUGGCCUUGGUUGGCACUCCCAGCAUGAUAGCAGGGUUCUGCUGUCUGAAUGUACUCUGGGGUGUGCGCCACAAUUUCUGUCAUCGAAAUGGAGAUGAGAGAAUAUGCCCUUGGUGGGGACACCCCACUGGAAUUAGAGUGAAGAGAUCAAAGCUAGAGGUUCUUAAAUCAAAGAAUGUCUAAUAGCAAAGACAAAAACUUGCUUAAGAGAAAUGCAUACAGGUACUAGACCUAAUAUGAUGAAAAAUGCUAACUUCAACAUAUUGAUGCAUGCUUAGUAUACUUUUAGUCCUGCAAAGACAAAAGUUUUUUGUUUGUUUUUUUUUGAGACGGAGUCUCGCUCUGUCGCCCAGGUUGGAGUGCAGUGGUGUGAUCUCGGCUUACUGCAAGCUCUGCCUCCUGGGUUCACACCAUUCUCCUGCCUCAGCCUCCGGAGUAGCUGGGACUACAGGCGCCCGCCACCACGCCCGGCUAAUUUUUUGUAUUUUUAGUAGAGAUGGGGUUUCACCGUGUUAGCCAGGAUGGUCUCGAUCUCCUGACCUCAGGUGAUCCGCCUGCCUUGGCCUCCCAAAGUGCUGGGAUUACAGGCAUGAGCCACCGCACCUGGCCCAGUCCUGCCAAGACAAAGUUUUAAAACACAGGUUGCACAUUGGCAGCUCUCAAGCCAAAUCUGGCCCAUAGACAUGGUUUGCUUGGCCUAUAAUGUUAGUAAUACUUGACCCAAGAUUUAAAAUUUGAAAAGUUUCAUAUAAAAAUAUAGAUUUACAGCUUUUCUAGAAAAACUAUAAGAGUUAACAGUUUCUGAAUUGCAACAGCAGCUGGAACACCGUUGCCACUGACCAUUUAGAUGACUGCUGCAGUCCCCACGGCUCACUCUGGUUCAGGUAGGGGUUCUAGUUUGUAACCCCUGGUUUAAAACAUAACUGACUCUCUAGUUUUUAAAAUUCUCUCAAAAUCAAAUAACCUGAACUAGCAAAUGAUCUAGAUCCUCGUACAUGGAACUCAUACUAAGUUGACCACAGACAGUGGCUCCCAAACUCUGCAGUACAUCAGAGUCACUGGGAAGCUUUAAAAAAUCCUGCUCCCUAGCUGGGUGCAGUGGUUUAUGCCUGUAGCCCCAGCUACUUGAGAGGCUGAGGUGGGAGGAUUGCUCAAGCCCAGGAGUUUGAGGCUGCAGUGAGCCAUGAAUGUACCACUACACUCCAGCCUGGGCAACAGAGCAAGACCCCAACUCUAAAAAAAAAUCCUGCUCCCCAGGUGACAGUAUCUGGGGGAAGGAGUAAGGCAUCUUAUUUUCAAAAGAUCAUAAGAAAAGAGGCUCAUUGCUGAGGCUCACUCCGGAGCCCACUUGGAUUCUUCACAAGAAAGUUUCCCUCUUCCAGAAUUUUAUAAUUGAGGGAACCGACUAGGGAAAGAUUAAUUUGCCCAAGGUCAAACAACUAGUAAAAGAAGUAAGGAUUCCAACCCAGAUCUUUUGACUCUAUUAUCCUUACAUAUAGUUUUAUAGUGAUUUAAAUUGAUACAAGGAUAGGUUUAAAUACAAGUAGAAUGCAGGUUCAUAUAAAACUGAUUUUAUCCUCAUGUUAGAAAACAUAUACACUGUAACAGAGGGAUGACCAUCAAGUGACCAAGAUAUUUUAGUCAAAAGAUGAAUUUUUCUGCAAUUGGAGAAUGCCAAAAAUAUUCAAAGAAAAUAUAAGUCUUGUAGGCAGUCUUCUAUCAAAACCCACUGAACCGCUGGGCACGGUGGCUCAUGCCUGUAAUUCCAGCACUUUGGGAGGCCAAGGCUGGUGGAUCACCUGAGGUCAGGAGUUUGAGACCAGCCUGGCCGACAUGGUCUCUACUAAAAAUACAAAAAAUUAGCUGGGCCUGGUGGCGGCACCUGUAAUCCCAGCUACUGAGGAGGCUGAGGCAGGAGAAUUGUUUGAACCUUGGAGGUAGAGGCUGCAGUGAGCUGAGAUAGCACCACUGCACUCCAGCCUGGGUAACAAGAGUGAAACUCCAUUCAAAAACAAAAAACAAACAAAAAAAAAACAAUGCACCAAAUACUAAGUUAUUAACUAGGAUACUGAUUAUUAAGCAUGUAAAACAUUUUAUGGAACUCAGAGUUUGAUGUAAAUUGCUAUAUUUUAUAAUUCAAACAAACCUUGUUUCAUGUCAUUAUAUUAGAGUAGCAUUAUGAGACAGGAUAUAGUGUAAGCUAUAUCCCCAAUAUAAUUGCAACUGUAUAUUUUAAAGCAUGGGGAAAAUAUGAAAAGAAUUAUGCUCAAAUGUGGGUAGGAUUAUAACUGAUUUGUUUUCUUCAUUUUCAGAUUUUUCUAUAAUGACUAUACAUUAUUUUUAUAGUCAAAAAUAGAAGUAUUUUAAAUGUUUCUAGGUAGAAUAGCAAAUUAGCUGAAAUAGUAUCUCCAACGUUAUUAUCAAGACUAGACUCCUUGGGUAAAUUGGUCAGAACAGUGUUGUUCUCAUUUUACACCUCUCCAAGAUUAACUAUGUUUUAGAUUUGUGUGUGUGUUUGGUUAAAGAGCCAGGAUGAAGAUCCAGAGUUCUUAAACCUGUAUACCACCAUACUACAUUGUCAUUUUAAAGAAAUGUCUAGUAGACUCGGUGGCAUAAACAUGGGCCAUUUACAAACUAGAUGUCUAAUAUCAGAUACCUCAAAUUUGACAGUAGACUUUUUUUCAAAGCUAAAGUGGUCUUAUGUUGACUAUUUUGUUUCUUACUUGAUACUUGUUUACUUUUUAAUUUUUGGCAAGUAAUGUUUCAAGUUAAAGUUUUAGCUAUAUAUAGCAGGCAGUAUUUCAAGUAAAUGAGUUACAUCAGUAAACACCUCUGUAUUACUAAACUGAGAAUCAGAAAAUGUAAUCUCUUUGGCAGGAUUCGUAUGUUUGUAUCACGUCUUUAUCCUCAGGCAACUUUUAUCUUGGAAUACUGAACCAGCAGUCAGAAUAUGAGGGACAUUAGACUGUGUUAUAGUUACUGUUCUGUCCUUAAGUCACUUGCCUUCUCUAAGUGUCAGUUGCCUCAUCUGAAAAUGGAGUUAGCAGACCCCAGCCUAUCCUGAGUUUGAGGGCUAAAGGGAAUUAUUCUUGAAAAUGUCUAUACAUGAUAAAUGUCACAAAUAUAACUUAGCAUUUUUUUUUUGAGACAGAGUUUCGCUCUUGUGGCCCAGGUCGGGGUGCAAUGUCGUGAUCUCAGCUCACUGCAACCUCUGCCUCCCGGGUUCAAGCGAUUCUCCUGCCUCAGCCUCCUGAGUAGCUGGGAUUACAGGCAUGCACCACCACACCUGGCUAAUUUUGUAUUUUUUAAUAGAGACGGGGUUUCACCAUGUUGGUCAGGUUGGUCUCGAACUCCUACCCUCCGGUGAUCCACCCGCCUUGGCCUCCCAAAGUGCUGGGAUUACAGGCAUGAGCCACCGCACCUAGCCAAUUCUACUUCUAUUACAUUUUCAGCAUAUAUCACUUCAUUGCUCCUCCAUAUUAUUUUUCACUGGUCUUCUUACAUCUUGUGUGCCCAUAUUUAAGUAGUUUUCUUUCCAGGUAAAAAAUACAUGUGUGCCUAAAAGAUUUUAAAGUCAACUUUUCAUAAACCAUACCUAAAUUAUCAAAGUUAUUAGAAUUAUUAGAAAGUAUUAGCUAAUUCUUUUAUAAAAUGUAGACUUUAUUAUUUUAGAAAUAUUGAUUCCUCUCUAUUCAGCUAUCUUAAAGAGGGUAUAUUUUAAUCAUCGCAAUAUAUUACCUUCAUAGUAUUUUUUACUUUUGCAAAGUAUAUUUUGUCAUGUUAUUUCAUUUAGGAAUGCACUAAAUCUACAUAUCUACAUAUGAUUAUACAAGGAAACAUCUUUGUCUCAAAAAUGGGUUCUAUUACAUUUUUUAAUUUCCAGGGGUCAUGAUAUAUAAAAAGACCUGAUUUAUCUUAAAAAUACAUACUUUUAUUCUUACCUACCAUACAUCUUUUUUUGUGAUAAUCAGAAGGCUUAAUUUACUAUAAAAUAGGAAAACAACAGCUAUGUUAGAUUAUAUAGUUAAUUUAGGGAUUAAAUGAGUUAAGGUCUACAAGCCCCUGGCACAUGGCAGACAAUCAAUAAUUGAUCAUUUCCUUUGCAUCUAUAAAUUUGUUCAUUCACUUCUCAUGUGGUUCUACCUUAGACAACGAUUUUUGUUUACAGAGACAAAUAGAAGUAUCUAAUCCUAAAUAACCCAAUCAAUUGGUAAAGGCUACACUACAAAGCUGGCAUGACUUCACCAAAUGCUAGAGAAACAGUGUUAAGAGUGACAACACUAAAAGUCUUACACUCUGAUGAUGCUAGUUGCCGCCGAAUUGCUUCCCCUACCAGUUCCUUAAGUUUCUUCUUAUGAUCCCGGCUGGUUUUCUUAUAGAAAUAAAGAUCUUUUUCCAACUGCUGGAUUUUAUCUUCAUAUGUUUUGAAAGUUUCCAUAAUGCCUUCUCCAUCUUGUUCUAUACAACAAAAAUUUGCAUUUAAAAUCAGUUUUAAAUAAAUGAUGCAAAAUUAUGUUUUUGUUUGUUUCUUUGUCUUUUUGAAACGGAGUCUUGCACUGUCGCCCAGGCUAGAGUGCAGUGGCGUGAUAUGCUCGGCUCACUGUAAGCUCCGCCACCCAGGUUCACACCAUUCUCCUGCCUCCGCCUCCCAAGUAGCUGGGACUACAGGUGCCCAGCACCACGCCCGGCUAAUUUUUUUGUAUUUUUAGUAGAGACGAGGUUUCAUCAUGUUAGCCAGGAUGGUCUCGAUCUCCUGACCUCGUGAACUGCC
rnacentral:lncRNA from 1 species